rnacentral:tRNA from 3 species
GCCCUCGUAGCUCAGGGGAUAGAGCACCGCUCUCCUAAAGCGGGUGUCGCAGGUUCGAAUCCUGCCGAGGGCGCCC